CGUUAUUGAAGAAGCUUCACUGAAGAAAAUUACAGCAAAACUUGAUUUAAUAGGGUACAAACACAACUACAGUACUGAGGGGUAAUUGUUCGUGCAUACCUCGCCGAGAAUGAAGAGAAAAUUUCGCAGUUCAAGAGAUGACUACUUAUCCUGCACCAUAAAAGUACUUUAUAACUCACAGUUGAUGGAUAACAAGGUUAAAGAGUAGUUAUAACCCAAGGAGACGAAUGUUCUAAAAAAUGGAAGCUCAAAAUCAGUAGUAGACGACCCAAAUCAUGUUAAAAAGUACCUAAGGUAGCAGUGUUACAUGAACACCGACUCGACUAGUAGCAGCAUAUACACAGGGUAUUUUAUGUUUGAUAUUGACUAUCUGAGUGCUAUGAAA